CAGGCUACCGACAAUUUAGGAGUUGAUUUUCUGAAGUCUCGUUCGUUCUUCACGGAUUCAUAUUGGUAUUGGUUAGGCUUCGGAGCACUGAUCGGAUUUUUGUUUCUUUUCAACCUGAUGUUUGGUCUUGCUCUUGAAUUCCUUGACCCAUUUGAUAAGCCACAAGCAUCAAUAAUCGAAGAAGAACCGGAAGCAAAUACACCUAAUGAAGGAAUCGAGUUACCACGCAUAGAAAGUUCGGGAAAAGCUGAUUCUAUUGCGGAGUCUAGCCAUGGAAA